CUCACUCUCCCAAACACUUUGAACUCGUUCUCUCUCAAUAAACCAGCAGUCAUCAGCAUCAAACCUCCAACAACCACCAACCCACCACUAGAUCUGAAGAUGUCGAAGGAAGCGAAGAAGACGGUGCAGGAGUGUGUGUCGGAGUUCAUCAGCUUCAUCUUCCCAAAUUCCGCAACCCUAGAACACCAUGAAACCCUAUCUCAACUUAGCCAUCUCUCACAUAAAGACACACGCAUCCCUCAUUUUUAGGGUUUCUCUGUUACUCCAAAGUCUUCAAUUUCAUGUUUUGGAAGCUUCAAAUCUGAACCCAUUUGUCGUUUCCGCUAAGGAAUUUUUUGGGAGUUUGCAUCGUAUGUUACAGUCCGCCAUUGCAGCCAAUCAGAGCUUUUAACUUCAGGAAACCUAAUAGACGUCCCUCAAUCAAACGGAAGAGUGAAUGUCAAGCACCCAAAACGUCCAAUUUCAUUCAAUACGCCAUGAAUCUAAUCGAUUGAAACUCCCAUGAUUGCUAUAUCAGUAAACGAAAUUCACCACCAAAUGCUAGGAAUCAUACCGUCGCUCAUAAAUGUACAGGAAAAUUCAGUGGCAUGUUCUUGAUCUUCUUCUUUCAGUGGCAUGUUCUUGAUCUUGUUCUUUGACUUGGGCGGUGCAGUGGUCUCCUCCGUAGACGACACAUGAUCAAACAAACAUACAAACUAACUGCAUCAUAAUUCUUCUUCUUCAUCAUCCCAAUCAGUCAGAUGCGGAUCAGGAAGGACAACAAGGGCCUGUACUUUUUUUUUGUACUCUCUUACUUUUUUGCUUUAUUAUGUCAAGAUUUUUGUAUUUUUAUGGUAAUAAUUUGCUGGUUUUUUGGGCUAGCACAACAAAAGCAUCUGGUAAGAAUCAAGUUUAACCAGUUGAUACCCCUAAUCGAUUGUUGGUUUAUAAUUUCCUCAUGACCUUUGCGUCGUUUUUUUUCUACUUCACGAAAUCAGGAUCAAGAACUGCAUCACAUAACUGGUUAAGCUGUCAGGAUCUGUAAGUAGUCAAUACCUUGCUGCUUUGCUUAUGGCUUCCCCCCUCACCCUCGGAGACGUACAGAUCGAAAUUAUCGAUAAAUUAAUAUCUAUACCACGCAUUACAGUUUACAGGAUCUGUUACCAUGACUCUUGCUGUCGUUGCUCUCUAUGCGGAUGGCCCUACAACCAUUGGAGAUGACAACCGUUAUUUGGCGCAGAGAGCAUGACAUACUCCAGUUAAACUGCGACCUUUGUUUGGCACAAGUAACAUGACAUACUCCAGCUCAACUGUUCAUUAAUCUGUAGAUUGACUCAUUUUCAAUGUCAAAUGCUGCACUUCCAAGGAGCAUUAAGGAUCAUGAGCGAAUUAUAUGGCUGGGUGACCUUAAUUACCGCUUUAAUUUGUCGUACGAGGAAACAUGCGAUUUGAUUUCCAAAAAUGCAUUGCUAGAGAGUGAUCAACUAAGACUAGGAGGUGUGUUUGACGGGUGGACAGAAGGCGCAUUUUCCACUGACUUACAAAUACGGGCCGAAUUCAGAUAAAUAUUAUGGCGAGGAUCCUAGAGGUGAAAGGCGUACGCCCACAUGGGGUUGAUGUUGGGCACCAGUUCUUUUCACCAUGUGACAUGGUUACUGUAGGUUUUCAUAACCAUUGUCUCAGUGGAAUUGAUUACAUUGGGGCAAGUUUUCAACAGGUGUGGUUUCCAGCAACUGAACCGUUGGAUGUCAUGUCGGCAAACAGGGGUGGUUUGCGCGGUGGAAAGAGAUAGUUAGAUACCCGGAAAGGGUUGGUGAAGUUGGGAGUGUAAUCGGGUGAGGUCGGAGACGGGUGAGACUUCGGGUCAACUGUGGUUAACGCAAGUAAACAGAGUCAGAUUUGGUGCUUAUAUAUAUACACACAACUUACAUAUGAUUCUUUUUAUUGCUUUAAGAUUUCAACCAUGUAACCACCUCGUAUUGUCGACUCCGCCGAACGCCCGGGUUCCCAUUAUUUCAAAUACUUUAGCUGUUUUAUGAAUUUGGUAUUAAAAAAGAUUAUGUAAAAUCGACCAA